UGGGGAAUUUUGGACAAUGGGCGAAAGCCUGAUCCAGCAAUGCCGCGUGUGUGAAGAAGGCCUUCGGGUUGUAAAGCACUUUUGUCCGGAAAAAAUCCUUGGCUCUAAUACAGUCGGGGGAUGACGGUACCGGAAGAAUAAGCACCGGCUAACUACGUGCCAGCAGCCGCGGUAAUACGUAGGGUGCAAGCGUUAAUCGGAAUUACUGGGCGUAAAGCGUGCGCAGGCGGUUUGCUAAGACCGAUGUGAAAUCCCCGGGCUCAACCUGGGAACUGCAUUGGUGACUGGCAGGCUAGAGUAUGGCAGAGGGGGGUAGAAUUCCACGUGUAGCAGUGAAAUGCGUAGAGAUGUGGAGGAAUACCGAUGGCGAAGGCAGCCCCCUGGGCCAAAUACUGACGCUCAUGCACGAAAGCGUGGGGAGCAAAACAGGAUUAGAUACCCUGGUAGUCCACGCCCUAAAACGAUGUCAACUAGUUGUUGGGGAUUCAUUUCCUUAGUAACGUAGCUAACGCGUGAAGUUGACCGCCUGGGGAGUACGGUCGCAAGAUUAAAACUUAAAUGAAUUGACGGGGUCAUAGCUGUUUCCU
rnacentral:rRNA from 1 species